rnacentral:rRNA from 1 species
AUUGAACGCUGGCGGCAUGCCUUACACAUGCAAGUCGAACGGUAACGCGGGGCAACCUGGCGACGAGUGGCGAACGGGUGAGUAAUAUAUCGGAACGUGCCCAGUAGUGGGGGAUAGCCCGGCGAAAGCCGGAUUAAUACCGCAUACGACCUAAGGGUGAAAGCGGGGGAUCGCAAGACCUCGCGCUAUUGGAGCGGCCGAUAUCAGAUUAGGUAGUUGGUGGGGUAAAGGCCUACCAAGCCUACGAUCUGUAGCUGGUCUGAGAGGACGACCAGCCACACUGGGACUGAGACACGGCCCAGACUCCUACGGGAGGCAGCAGUGGGGAAUUUUGGACAAUGGGCGCAAGCCUGAUCCAGCCAUGCCGCGUGCGGGAA